rnacentral:rRNA from 1 species
AGUGAACGCUAGCGGUAGGCCUAACACAUGCAAGUCGAACGGCAGCACAGUAAGAGCUUGCUCUUACGGGUGGCGAGUGGCGGACGGGUGAGGAAUACAUCGGAAUCUACUUUUUCGUGGGGGAUAACGUAGGGAAACUUACGCUAAUACCGCAUACGACCUACGGGUGAAAGCAGGGGAUCUUCGGACCUUGCGCGAUUGAAUGAGCCGAUGUCGGAUUAGCUAGUUGGCGGGGUAAAGGCCCACCAAGGCGACGAUCCGUAGCUGGUCUGAGAGGAUGAUCAGCCACACUGGAACUGAGACACGGUCCAGACGCCUACGGGAGGCAGCAGUGGGGAAUAUUGGACAAUGGGCGCAAGCCUGAUCCAGCCAUACCGCGUGGGUGAAGAAGGCCUUCGGGUUGUAAAGCCCUUUUGUUGGGAAAGAAAAGCAGCAGGUUAAUACCCCGCUGUUCUGACGGUACCCAAAGAAUAAGCACCGGCGAACUUCGU